CCUACGGGAGGCAGCAGUGGGGAAUUUUGGGCAAUGGGCGCAAGCCUGACCCAGCAACGCCGCGUGAAGGACGAAGGCUUUCGGGUUGUAAACUUCUUUUCUCAGGGACGAAGCUAGUGACGGUACCUGAGGAAUAAGCCACUGCUAACUACGUGCCAGCCGCAGCGGUAAUGCGUAGGUGGCAAGCGUUAUCCGGCGUUACUGGGUGUAAAGGGCGUGUAGGCGGGAAAGCAAGUCGGAUGUGAAAACCGUGGGCUCAACCUGUGGCCUGCAGUUGAAACUGUUGUUCUGGAGUACUGUAGAGGCAGACGGAAUUUCUAGUGUAGCGGUGAAAUGCGUAGAUAUGAGGAGGAACACCAGUGGCGAAGGCGG
rnacentral:rRNA from 1 species